ensembl:lncRNA
GGUAGGGGUAACCAUACAAGCAUCAUUUGCACCACUUUGCCUUAAGCUGAUGUUUUCCACAAACUGCCUUUAUAAUCUCUUGGCUACAGAACAGCUGAUCUCCCAACGUACACGCUGACUGCUACAUUUAUUAAACGAGAAGCUACCUUGAGGUCCUCAUCAUAAUGCACUGAGAGGUCAGUGCAUCAUUAACAAAGCAGCAGUCACAGGCAACAAAGGGAAGAAGGAAGCGGAACAGAAUGACCUUUCAUUGUUCCAUUUCCAGGAAGUGACCCUAAGGCCCCAAGAGUACCAGCUUGGCCAGUAUAUGAGGCCCUUGGCCCCCAAAGGGCCUACUGCAGCAACUCUGAUGAACUAUUCCCAGUACCAGGCAAUCAAAGCUGACCUCGAGGGUCACAAAUAGAGCACAUGGCAGCAAAUCACCUGAGAAUUUUCCAUUGUAACAGUGAUCAGAAAGCUUUUUGUUUAGUCCCUUAACCCCC